rnacentral:rRNA from 1 species
GCUACACAUGCAGUCGAGCGGAACGAUGGUAGCUUGCUACCAGGCGUCGAGCGGCGGACGGGUGAGUAAUACUUAGGAAUCUACCUAGUAGUGGGGGAUAGCACGGGGAAACUCGUAUUAAUACCGCAUACGACCUACGGGAGAAAGGGGGCAGUUUACUGCUCUCGCUAUUAGAUGAGCCUAAGUCGGAUUAGCUAGAUGGUGGGGUAAAGGCCUACCAUGGCGACGAUCUGUAGCUGGUCUGAGAGGAUGAUCAGCCACACCGGGACUGAGACACGGCCCGGACUCCUACGGGAGGCAGCAGUGGGGAAUAUUGGACAAUGGGGGAAACCCUGAUCCAGCCAUGCCGCGUGUGUGAAGAAGGCCUUUUGGUUG